rnacentral:ncRNA from 1 species
CCGCUAGGGGUGCUGCGCCGAAUAGGCGCGGCUGAGAUUAACCUUUGAACCUGACCUGGAUAAUGCCGGCGUAGGGAAGCGGUUGUAUA